UAGUAGGUGACUGAUAUGUUU
rnacentral:siRNA from 1 species